rnacentral:sRNA from 2 species
CAAUACCAUUAGCCUAAAUUUUACGGCAUAAUUUGCUUUAAAAUGCGGAGGAACCAAGUUAUGGGGUGAAUCACCAUCUGGUGUAGGUUAUACCUUUUCCGAACCCGUCAGCUAACUUCGCAGGCAAAAGGAGGUAUUG